GACGAACGCUGGCGGCGUGCUUAACACAUGCAAGUCGAACGGAAAGGCCCUGCUUGCAGGGUACUCGAGUGGCGAACGGGUGAGUAACACGUGGGUGAUCUGCCCUGCACUUCGGGAUAAGCCUGGGAAACUGGGUCUAAUACCGGAUAGGAGCCAUUUUUAGUGUGAUGGUUGGAAAGUUUUUUCGGUGUAGGAUGAGCUCGCGGCCUAUCAGCUUGUUGGUGGGGUAAUGGCCUACCAAGGCGGCGACGGGUAGCCGGCCUGAGAGGGUGGACGGCCACAUUGGGACUGAGAUACGGCCCCGACUCCUACGGGGGGCAGCCGUGGGGAAUAUUGCCCAAUGGGCGCAAGCCUGAUGCAGCGACGCCGCGUGGGGGAUGACGGCCUUCGGGUUGUAAACUCCUUUCGCUAGGGACGAAGCUUUUUGUGACGGUACCUAGAUAAGAAGCACCGGCUAACUACGUG
rnacentral:rRNA from 1 species